rnacentral:rRNA from 1 species
GAUGAACGCUGGCGGCGUGCUUAACACAUGCAAGUCGAACGAAGCACCUUAUUCUGAUUUCUUCGGAAUGAAAAAUUUGGUGACUGAGUGGCGGACGGGUGAGUAACGCGUGGGUAACCUGCCUCAUACAGGGGGAUAGCAGUUAGAAAUGACUGCUAAUACCGCAUAAGACCACAGCACCGCAUGGUGCAGGGGUAAAAACUCCGGUGGUAUGAGAUGGACCCGCGUCUGAUUAGGUAGUUGGUGGGGUAACGGCCUACCAAGCCGACGAUCAGUAGCCGACCUGAGAGGGUGACCGGCCACAUUGGGACUGAGACACGGCCCAAACUCCUACGGGAGGCAGCAGUGGGGAAUAUUGCACAAUGGGGGAAACCCUGAUGCAGCGACGCCGCGCGAGCGAUGAAGUAUUUCGGUAUGUAAAGCUCUAUCAGCAGGGAAGAAAAUGACGGUACCUGACUAAGAAGCACCGGCUAAAUACGUGCCAGCAGCCGCCGUAA